UACGUAGGGUGCGAGCGUUAAUCGGAAUUACUGGGCGUAAAGCGUGCGCAGGCGGUCUGUUAAGGCCGAUGUGAAAUCCCCGGGCUUAACCUGGGAACUGCAUUGGUGACUGGCAGGCUUUGAGUGUGGCAGAGGGAGGUAGAAUUCCACGUGUAGCAGUGAAAUGCGUAGAGAUCCGGAGGAACACCAAAGGCGAAGGCAGUGUCCUGGGGAGUACCUGACGCUCAGGUGCGAAAGCCAGGGGAGCGAACGGG
rnacentral:rRNA from 1 species